GUUAUUGUAGCUUAUCGCAAAGCAUGGCACUGAAGUUGCCAAGAUGGGUAACCAAUAUACCCCCAAAAAACA
rnacentral:tRNA from 1 species